rnacentral:tRNA from 1 species
CGGGGUGGCGGAGGCUAUAUACGUAUUGCAAAAGUAAGGAUUUCUGAUAAAAGACAUAUGCUGGAACAANACUGGCAGACGCACAGGACUUAAAAUCCUGCGGUGAGUGAUCACCGUACCGGUUCGAUUCCGGUCCUCGGCA